GAAUGCUGACAUAAGUAACGAUAAAGCGGGUGAAAAGCCCGCUCGCCGGAAGACCAAGGGUUCCUGUCCAACGUUAAUCGGGGCAGGGUGAGUCGACCCCUAAGGCGAGGCCGAAAGGCGUAGUCGAUGGGAAACGGGUUAAUAUUCCCGUACUUGGUGUUACUGCGAAGGGGGGACGGAGAAGGCUAUGUUGGCCGGGCGACGGUUGUCCCGGUUUAAGCGUGUAGGUGUGUGUUCCAGGUAAAUCCGGUUCACUUUAACACUGAGGCGUGACGACGAGGCACUACGGUGCUGAAGCAACAAAUGCCCUGCUUCCAGGAAAAGCCUCUAAGCAUCAGGUAACAUCAAAUCGUACCCCAAACCGACACAGGUGGUCAGGUAGAGAAUACCAAGGCGCUUGAGAGAACUCGGGUGAAGGAACUAGGCAAAAUGGUGCCGUAACUUCGGGAGAAGGCACGCUGACACGUAGGUGAAGUGAUUUACUCAUGGAGCUGAAGUCAGUCGAAGAUACCAGCUGGCUGCAACUGUUUAUUAAAAACACAGCACUGUGCAAACACGAAAGUGGACGUAUACGGUGUGACGCCUGCCCGGUGCCGGAAGGUUAAUUGAUGGGGUCAGCGCAAGCGAAGCUCCUGAUCGAAGCCCCGGUAAACGGCGGCCGUAACUAUAACGGUCCUAAGGUAGCGAAAUUCCUUGUCGGGUAAGUUCCGACCUGCACGAAUGGCGUAAUGAUGGCCAGGCUGUCUCCACCCGAGACUCAGUGAAAUUGAACUCGCUGUGAAGAUGCAGUGUACCCGCGGCAAGACGGAAAGACCCCGUGAACCUUUACUAUAGCUUGACACUGAACAUUGAGCCUUGAUGUGUAGGAUAGGUGGGAGGCUUUGAAGUGUGGACGCCAGUCUGCAUGGAGCCGACCUUGAAAUACCACCCUUUAAUGUUUGAUGUUCUAACGUGGACCCGUUACCCGGGUUGCGGACAGUGUCUGGUGGGUAGUUUGACUGGGGCGGUCUCCUCCUAAAGAGUAACGGAGGAGCACGAAGGUUGGCUAAUCCUGGUCGGACAUCAGGAGGUUAGUGCAAUGGCAUAAGCCAGCUUGACUGCGAGCGUGACGGCGCGAGCAGGUGCGAAAGCAGGUCAUAGUGAUCCGGUGGUUCUGAAUGGAAGGGCCAUCGCUCAACGGAUAAAAGGUACUCCGGGGAUAACAGGCUGAUACCGCCCAAGAGUUCAUAUCGACGGCGGUGUUUGGCACCUCGAUGUCGGCUCAUCACAUCCUGGGGCUGAAGUAGGUCCCAAGGGUAUGGCUGUUCGCCAUUUAAAGUGGUACGCGAGCUGGGUUUAGAACGUCGUGAGACAGUUCGGUCCCUAUCUGCCGUGGGCGCUGGAGAACUGAGGGGGGCUGCUCCUAGUACGAGAGGACCGGAGUGGACGCAUCACUGGUGUUCGGGUUGUCAUGCCAAUGGCACUGCCCGGUAGCUAAAUGCGGAAGAGAUAAGUGCUGAAAGCAUCUAAGCACGAAACUUGCCCCGAGAUGAGUUCUCCCUGAGACUUAAAGUCUCCUGAAGG
rnacentral:rRNA from 1 species